CAACCAAAUGUAAAACGCUUUCAGACACUGCCACACUUCAUUCAGCUCUAAAACCUGAUGCACAACUCAACAAGGGAUGAUCUCUAUUUGAAUCAACAGGUUUCAAACACAAUACGUAUUAUUUGAGUACAUUGUACAUGGAGAAAUAAUUAGAAGGAGACAUAAGAGCAUAAGACCCAGUUUACCAAACCAUCCCUGGAGUGAAGGCGUUCAGCUGAGCUCUGUGCAGCCUUCUGAGCAGGAACUGUGUGUGAGGGCUUUAUAUCGGCAACUAUAACACAACGUCAUCUGAACGUUAACUAACCACAGAGUCACGAGCGAUGACAUUUAGCAACAACACACCUGAUAGGCAACAGUAGCUAUAGUUACUCAUUUUGUCCGUUGAAGAGAUUCAAACUCAAAACGUAAUUCGGUAAUGGCGACUUCAUGUGUUUCAACUAUUUACAUGUGUCUUUAUUAAAUAAGUUAAAUGUAAAGGUUCACAUUUAAGAUAAUACUUGUUUGAUCCUACACCAGGAGCGCUGCAACAUGAGCAUCUCUUCCAACACACAUCGAAUUGUUGUUGCUGCUGGUCUUUGGUUGGAACCCGGAUUGAACCAGGAACCUUCAGUUCUUCAGUCGGCAAUUAUUUCAGGACAACUUUCAUUAAAAGUUGAGGUGAUUGAUGUAAUAAUGCUUUUUAGCAUCACAACAAACAACCCCUUUGUCACAUUGUUACUUUUGUCAUGUUCUCAUUUGAUACAUUAUUAUACAUAUUGGUUAUAUCCUGUAAUAUAGGGGUCUUCAAGGUUUUUCAGGCCAAGGACCCUCAAACUGGUGGAGAGAUGGAGCAGGGACCCCAUACUAUAUAUAUUCUAUAAAAUUGUGUUUUAUAUUAAACUGGGCCUAGUGCCAUGUAUACACAUAGCUACCCUGUUUUUGUGCAUUCAAUACUAAACUAUUCAAAUAUUACACGGGUUCAUAUAUUCAUGUUCUUAAUUUAAACAUGUGCAAUGUACAGGAUGACCAUGCCACUGCCAUUCAUAAACAUACAUCUUGCAUACAACACUGAGCUAUUAAAAUAAUUAACAGAUUCAUGUUUUUAUAUGAAACAUACUGUAAGGAUUUGGUUAGUUGUAUGUUGUUGUUUUCGUCUCUCCUCCUCCCCUUCUCUGUUUCCCUUUGCAGGUGCUGUGAGCGGUAGGGGGCGUGGCUGGUUCCCUGCAGCGGACGAGGCGCACCUGCACUCAAUCCUAAUCAUCCCCGCUAUAGAGAUCUGGUCCGCUCAACAAGCCGGCGCCAGAUUAUUCCAUAUAUCAUGAACCUCCGUGUGCCUCUUCGCUCGGCUGUCCUCCUUGCCUCUCCGUGGAUCCUCCAGCCAGCCUGCACCCUGCCGCUCCAGCCUGUACCUGCCUACACAGUCAAUAAACUGUUACCUUUUUCA